GUGGCCUGUCCUGGGCAACAUUGAGGAUAAACAGCACUCAGGCCCCCCAGGACCAAGUUCUGAGUUCCUGCAGCAGCAGCAGCCGGAUCUGUGCCCCAAUCCUGGCAUGGGUUCAGGGGGCAUUGGCAGUUCCGCUGUUUCUGCCAGGGAUACAACCACGCUUGCUGCUGAACGGACAGUAUAGCUGGGCCAGGUGGGGGAGGUGGGCUUUAGGGGCCAGGGCAGAUGGCCCAGGAGUCAACUGAGGGAAGGGGGAAACAGCAAUAUAUUCUAAGACCCCCCCAGAAAUGAGAGACACCUCCCAGCUCUCUAAGGGCAGUAACCCUGGAGUUCAAUGAAGUGGAAUGGCUCAUUAUUUUGUUUUUGUGGGAGCAAGAACAACCAUCUCAACAAUGAGAACUUGCCCCCGUAGUCCCAAAGCCAGGAUCUUCGUGGGAGGGUUCCAGAGGGUGAGGCCCAGGCCCUCUGAACCAGCAGACCCUUGUCAUGGAUCAGGUCCUGCGCUGAUGGACCUUGAGAGAAUGGUGGCUACAGAGGACAAAUCCAGAAAAGGCAUCCACACACAUGCAAGAAGGCAGAGGAAGCAUCUGGUUCUCCCCAAACUCGGGGGUAAAACUGUCCACAUCGAGCACCAAGGCACCCUGAACUUCCACAGAACCAAGUUAGAUAAUCCCAGAACUUUGAGGUAUCUGGGCCCAAAACUAGUAUUAAAUUGAAGGCGCAGAUAAGAAAUGGAAUGUUUUCACUUUUUAUAGCCCAGUGUGCCCAACCAGUCCAUCAAACCCACCUUCUUCCCGGGGCAACCCUAGAAAAGAUGUCUCACUCAAAGACAGCCCUGGAGAGCAAGUCCUGGCCAAGUUUUCCCAAUUAUGACUGCAUUUCACAUCUUUCUUUACAAGGCAAAGUCCCCGCAAGAGUCAGGGAGUGAAUCCUCCAGAGCCUCGCCACUUAGUGUGGACCACAGACCAGCAGCACCAGAAUCACCUGGGAACUUGCCAGAAGUACAGUUGUUCAAGCCCCACUCCAAACCUACUGAACCAGCAGCUCUGGGAGGAGGCCCAGCAAUCAGGGUUUAAACACUCCCUCCAGGAGACUGUGAUGCUCUCUCAGCUUGGACGCUUUCAAAACUGACCACCUCAGUAUGAAACAGGCUAAACCAUGCUCAAGGGUUAACAGCGUAAAGAUCUCUGGCCGGGCGCGGUGGCUCACACCUGUAAUCCCAGCACUUUGGGAGGCCGAGGCGGGCGGAUCACGAGGUCAAGAGAUCGAGACCAUCCUGGCUAACACGGUGAAACCCCAUCUCUACUAAAAAUACAAAAAAUUAGCCGGGCGUGGUGGCGGGUGCCUGUAGUCCCAGCUACUCGGGAGGCUGAGGCAGAAUGGCAUAAACCCGGGAGGCGGAGUUUGUAGUGAGCUGAGAUCGCGCCAGAGCGAGACUCCGUCUCAU
rnacentral:lncRNA from 1 species